rnacentral:rRNA from 1 species
AUACGGAGGGGACAAGCGUUAUUCGGAAUCACUGGGCGUAAAGGACGCGUAGGCGGGUUAUUAAGUCGGGUGUGAAAUCCAAUGGCUCAACCAUUGAACUGCAUUCGAAACUGAUAACCUAGAGUAUGGAAGGGGCAGGUGGAAUUAGUGGUGUAGGGGUAAAAUCCGUAGAUAUCACUAGGAAUACCGAAAGCGAAGGCGACCUGCUGGGACAUUACUGACGCUGAGGCGCGUAAGCGUGGGGAGCAAACAGGAUUAGAUACCCUAGUAGUCC